rnacentral:misc_RNA from 1 species
GAAAUGCGAUAAGUAGUGUGAAUUGCAGAAUUCAGUGAAUCAUCGAAUCUUUGAACGCACAUUGCGCCCUUUGGUAUUCCUUAGGGCAUGCCUGUUCGAGCGUCAUCUAAACCUUCAAUCCCUGCUUGGUGUUGGGUGCCUGUCCCGCCUCCGCGCGCGGACUCACCUCAAAUCCAUUGGCGGCCCCCGCGUCGGCCACGAGCGCAGCAGAAACGCGAACUCGUGAGCCCGUCCGGGCGGCUCCCAGAAGCUACACCCACCCAGUUUGACCUCGGAUCAGGUAGGGAUACCCGCUGAACUUAAGC